rnacentral:rRNA from 1 species
AGAGUUUGAUCCUGGCUCAGGAUGAACGCUGGCGGCGUGCUUAACACAUGCAAGUCGAGCGAGAUUUUAUAAAAUUACUCUUCGGAGGAAGUUUUAUAGAUGAAGCGGCGGACGGGUGAGUAACGCGUAGGCAACCUACCUUAUGCAAAGGGAUAGCCUCGGGAAACUGGGAUUAAUACCUUAUAAUACUUUGGAGUCGCAUGACCCUAAAGUCAAAGAUUUAUCGGCAUAAGAUGGGCCUGCGUCUGAUUAGCUAGUUGGUAAGGUAACGGCUUACCAAGGCGACGAUCAGUAGCCGACCUGAGAGGGUGAUCGGCCACACUGGAACUGAGACACGGUCCAGACUCCUACGGGAGGCAGCAGUGGGGAAUAUUGCACAAUGGGCGAAAGCCUGAUGCAGCAACGCCGCGUGAGCGAUGAAGGCCUUCGGGUCGUAAAGCUCUGUCCUUGGGGAAGAAAAAAAUGACGGUACCCAAGGAGGAAGCCCCGGCUAACUACGUGCCAGCAGCCGCGGUAAUACGUAGGGGGCAAGCGUUGUCCGGAAUUAUUGGGCGUAAAGGGUGCGUAGGCGGCAUGGCAAGUCAGAGUGAAAGGCUACGGCUUAACCGUAGUAAGCCUUAGGAACUGUAAGUCUUGAGUGCAGGAGAGGAAAGCGGAAUUCCUAGUGUAGCGGUGAAAUGCGUAGAUAUUAGGAGGAACACCAGUGGCGAAGGCGGCUUUCUGGACUGUAACUGACGCUGAGGCACGAAAGCGUGGGGAGCAAACAGGAUUAGAUACCCUGGUAGUCCACGCGGUAAACGAUGAAUACUAGGUGUAGGGGGUCAAACUUCAGUGCCGCAGCUAACGCAUUAAGUAUUCCGCCUGGGGAGUACGGUCGCAAGACUGAAACUCAAAGGAAUUGACGGGGACCCGCACAAGCAGCGGAGCAUGUGGUUUAAUUCGAAGCAACGCGAAGAACCUUACCAAGGUUUGACAUCCCCUUGACAAUGGCGCUUAGCAGCGCAGGUCUUUCGGGACAGAGGAGACAGGUGGUGCAUGGUUGUCGUCAGCUCGUGUCGUGAGAUGUUGGGUUAAGUCCCGCAACGAGCGCAACCCUUGCCUUUAGUUGCCAGCACAUAAUGGUGGGCACUCUAGAGGGACUGCCGGUGACAAACCGGAGGAAGGUGGGGAUGACGUCAAAUCAUCAUGCCCCUUAUGAUCUGGGCUACACACGUGCUACAAUGGUCGGUACAACGGGCAGCGAAAGAGCGAUCUGGAGCGAAUCCUAAAAAGCCGAUCCCAGUUCGGAUUGCAGGCUGAAACUCGCCUACAUGAAGUUGGAGUUGCUAGUAAUCGCGAAUCAGAAUGUCGCGGUGAAUGCGUUCCCGGGUCUUGUACACACCGCCCGUCACACCAUGGAAGUUGAGGGCGCCCGAAGCCAGUGGUCCAACCCGUAAGGGAGGAAGCUGUCGAAGGUGAAAUCAAUGACUGGGGUGAAGUCGUAACAAGGUAACC